rnacentral:rRNA from 1 species
GACGAACGCUGGCGGCGUGCUUAACACAUGCAAGUCGAACGAAGAGCGACGGAAGCUUGCUUCUAUCAAUCUUAGUGGCGAACGGGUGAGUAACGCGUAAUCAACCUGCCCUUCAGAGGGGGACAACAGUUGGAAACGACUGCUAAUACCGCAUACGAUCUAACCUCGGCAUCGAGGAUAGAUGAAAGGUGGCCUCGACAUGUAAGCUAUCACUGAAGGAGGGGAUUGCGUCUGAUUAGCUAGUUGGAGGGGUAACGGCCCACCAAGGCGAGGAUCAGUAGCCGGUCUGAGAGGAUGAACAGCCGCAUUGGGACUGAGACACGGCCCAGACGCCUACGGGAGGCAGCAGUGGGGAAUCUUCCGCAAUGGACGGAAGUCUGACGGAGCAACGCCGCGUGAGUGAUGACGGCCUUCGGGUUGUAAAGCUCGGUUAAUCGGGACGAAAGGCCUUCUUGCGAAUAGUGAGAAGGAUUGACGGUACCGGAAUAGAAAGCCACGGCUAACUACGUG